UACGGAGGGUGCAAGCGUUAAUCGGAAUUACUGGGCGUAAAGAGUACGUAGGCGGCUAUUUAAGUCGGAUGUGAAAGCCCUGGGCUCAACCUGGGAACUGCAUCCGAUACUGGAUAGCUAGAGUUUGUGAGAGGUAGUGGAUUCCAGGUGAUAGCGGUGAAAUGCGUAGAUAUCUGGAGGAACAUCAGUGGCGAAGGCGA
rnacentral:rRNA from 1 species